UGAGGAAUUUUGCGCAAUGGGCGAAAGCCUGACGCAGCGACGCCGCGUGAAGGAAGAAGCACUUCGGUGUGUAAACUUCUUUUAUGUGGGAAAAUUAUGAUUGUACCACACGAAUAAGGGCCUGCUAAACUCGUGCCAGCAGCAGCGGUAAGACGAGUGGCCCAAGCGUUAUCCGGAUUUACUGGGCGUAAAGCGCCGGUAGGUGGUUUGUUAAGUCCGAUGUGAAAUCUCCCCGCUCAACGGGGUAGUGGUCGUUGGAUACUGGCAGACUCGAGUCCAACAGGGGCACGUGGAACAUACGGUGUAGCAGUGAAAUGCGUUGAUAUCGUAUGGAACACCAAUGGCGAAGGCAGCGUGCUAGGUUGGUACUGACACUGAGCGGCGAAAGCGUGGGGAGCGAAAGGG
rnacentral:rRNA from 1 species